UACGUAGGGACCAAGCGUUGUUCGGAUUUACUGGGCGUAAAGGGCGCGUAGGCGGCUUAACAAGUCACUUGUGAAAUCUCCGGGCUUAACUCGGAACGGCCGAGUGAAACUGUCAAGCUAGAGUGCAGAAGGGGCAAUCGGAAUUCUUGGUGUAGCGGUGAAAUGCGUAGAUAUCAAGAGGAACACCUGAGGUGAAGACGGGUUGCUGGGCUGACACUGACGCUGAGGCGCGAAAGCCAGGGGAGCAAACGGG
rnacentral:rRNA from 1 species